rnacentral:tRNA from 1 species
GGCCCCGUAGCUCAGCCGGAUAGAGCGACAGAUUCCUAAUCUGUAGGUCAGUGGUUCGAAUCCACUCGGGGUCGCCA